CCUACGGGGGGUAGCAGUGGGGAAUAUUGCACAAUGGGGGAAACCCUGAUGCAGCGACGCCGCGUGAGUGAAGAAGUAUUUCGGUAUGUAAAGCUCUAUCAGCAGGGAAGAAAAUGACGGUACCUGAUUAAGAAGCCCCGGCUAACUACGUGCCAGCAGCCGCGGUAAUACGGAGGAUGCGAGCGUUAUCCGGAUUUAUUGGGUUUAAAGGGUGCGCAGGCGGUCGGUUAAGUCAGCGGUAAAACCCCGGGGCUCAACCCCGGACCGCCGUUGAUACUGGCAGUCUCGAGUUGGAGAGAAGUAUGAGGAAUGCGCGGUGUAGCGGUGAAAUGCAUAGAUAUCGCACAGAACUCCGAUUGCGAAGGCAGCAUGCCGGCUCCACACUGACGCUGAGGCACGAAAGCGUGGGUAUCGAACAGGAUUAGAUACCCGGGUAGUC
rnacentral:rRNA from 1 species